rnacentral:rRNA from 1 species
UCUCGGUGAUUUAGUUUAAUGUGUACCACCUCUUUCCAUUCCGAACAGAGAAGUGAAAUCAUUAAACACCGAUGGUACUUACUUUCGUAGGGAGAGUAGGUUUCGCCGAGAA